rnacentral:tRNA from 1 species
AUUUAAAUAGUUUAAUUAAAACUUUGAUUUGUGGUAUCAAUAAUAUAAAAUUUAUUUUAUUUUAAAUU